rnacentral:rRNA from 1 species
GUGGAUUAGAUACCCUGGUAGUCCACGCCGUAAACGAUGGAUGCUAGCCGUUGGCGAGCUUGCUCGUCAGUGGCGCAGCUAACGCUUUAAGCAUCCCGCCUGGGGAGUACGGUCGCAAGAUUAAAACUCAAAGGAAUUGACGGGGGCCCGCACAAGCGGUGGAGCAUGUGGUUCAAUUCGAAGCAACGCGCAGAACCUUACCAGCCCUUGACAUCCCGGUCGCGGAGAGCAGAGACGCACUCCUUCAGUUCGGCUGGACCGGAGACAGGUGCUGCAUGGUUGUCGUCAGCU